GACGAACGCUGGCGGCGUGCUUAACACAUGCAAGUCGAACGGAAAGGCCUCUUUCGGGGGGUACUCGAGUGGCGAACGGGUGAGUAACACGUGAGUAACCUGCCCUUGACUUUGGGAUAACUUCAGGAAACUGGGGCUAAUACCGGAUAGGAGCUCCUGCUGCAUGGUGGGGGUUGGAAAGUUUCGGCGGUUGGGGAUGGACUCGCGGCUUAUCAGCCUGUUGGUGGGGUAGUGGCUUACCAAGGCUUUGACGGGUAGCCGGCCUGAGAGGGUGACCGGCCACAUUGGGACUGAGAUACGGCCCAGACUCCUACGGGAGGCAGCAGUGGGGAAUAUUGCACAAUGGGUGGAAGCCUGAUGCAGCAACGCCGUGUGCGGGAUGACGGCCUUCGGGUUGUAAACCGCUUUCGCUCAUGACGAAGCUUUGUGUGACGGUAGUGGGUAAAGAAGCACCGGCUAACUACGUG
rnacentral:rRNA from 1 species